GCGGGUAUAGUAUAGUGGCUAUUAUGUUGGCCUUCCAAGCCGAAGACACGGGUUCGAUCCCCGUUACCCGCUCCA
rnacentral:tRNA from 1 species